rnacentral:rRNA from 1 species
UUGACCUCGGAUCAGGUAGGGUUACCCGCUGAACUUAAGCAUAUCAAUAAGCGGAGGAAAAGAAACCAACAGGGAUUGCCUCAGUAACGGCGAGUGAAGCGGCAACAGCUCAAAUUUGAAAUCUGGUCCUUCGGGGCCCGAGUUGUAAUUUGCAGAGGAUGCUUUUGGCGCGGUGCCUUCCGAGUGCCCUGGAACGGGACGCCACAGAGGGUGAGAGCCCCGUAUGGUUGGACACCAAGCCUAUGUAAAGCUCCUUCGACGAGUCGAGUAGUUUGGGAAUGCUGCUCAAAAUGGGAGGUAAACCCCUUCUAAAGCUAAAUACUGGCCAGAGACCGAUAGCGCACAAGUAGAGUGAUCGAAAGAUGAAAAGCACUUUGAAAAGAGAGUUAAAAAGCACGUGAAAUUGUUGAAAGGGAAGCGUUUGCGACCAGACUUGCGCCCGUCGAAUCAACCGUCCCUCGUGGGCGGUGCACUUCGGCGGGCUCAGGCCAGCAUCAGUUUACUGUAGGGGGAGAAAGGCGCUGGGAAUGUGGCUCUUCGGAGUGUUAUAGCCCGGCGCGUAAUACCCCUCGGUGGACUGAGGACCGCGCGAAAGCAAGGAUG